AUAAAAGGUACGCCGGGGAUAACAGGCUGAUACUGCCCAAGAGUCCAUAUCGACGGCAGUGUUUGGCACCUCGAUGUCGGCUCAUCUCAUCCUGGGGCUGAAGCCGGUCCCAAGGGUAUGGCUGUUCGCCAUUUAAAGUGGUACGCGAGCUGGGUUUAGAACGUCGUGAGACAGUUCGGUCCCUAUCUGCCGUGGGUGUAGGAUACUUGAGAGGAGUUGCCCCUAGUACGAGAGGACCGGGGUGAACGAUCCACUGGUGGACCUGUUGUGGCGCCAGCCGCAGUGCAGGGUAGCUAUGAUCGGAAAGGAUAACCGCUGAAGGCAUCUAAGCGGGAAGCCCCCCUCAAAACAAGGUAUCCCUGAGGGCCGAGGUAGACCACCUCGUCGAUAGGCCAGAGAUGUAAGCGCAGCAAUGCGUUCAGUUGACUGGUACUAAUUGUUCGCAAGGU
rnacentral:rRNA from 15 species